ensembl:lncRNA
CGCACAGUGGAUGAGAAUCCUCCUGCCAAUGCAAGAGCUGUGGGUUUGAGCCUGUGGGAAGAUUCCACAGGCCUCGGAGCAUGCGGGCCACAAUGCGUGAGUCUGUGCUCUAGAGCCCAUGAGCAGAAACUGCUGAGCCCGCGCCACACAGUUACUGAAGCCCAUGCUCCUACUGUGCUCUGCAACAAGAGAAGCCCCAUCUAGUCCCAAUUAGAGGAAGCCUGUGUGCAGCAAGGAAGACCCAGCACAACCAAAAUAAAUUAAUAAAAUAUCUUGUUGCAGGGCUGAAUAUGGCUAAGUCGUCAUGUAUGGAUGUGAGCGCUGAACCAUAAAGAAGACUGAGCACCAGAGAAUUGAUGCCUUUGCAUCGUGGUGCUGGAGAAGACUCUUCGAGAGUCCCUUGGACUGCAAGGAGAUCAAAUCAGUCCAUCCUAAAGAAAAUCAACCCUGAAUAUUCUUUGGAAGGACUGCUGCUAUAGCUGAAACUCCAAUACUUUGGCCACCUGAUGCAAAGAGCUGACUCAUUGGAAAAGACCCUGAUGCUGGGAAAAAUUGAAGGCGAAAGGAGGGCAGCAGAGGAUGAGAUGGUUAGAUAGCAUCACUGUCUCAAUGGACAUGAAUCUGAGCAAACUCUGGAGACAGUGGACAGGAGAGACUGGUGUGCUGCAGUCCGUGGGGUUGAAAAAAGUCGGACACAACUUAGCAACUGGACAAUCACAAGAACAGGUCAGGAUAAGACACUGACAUUUUAAGAGAUCGGAAGACUUUGGAGGGUUUUGAGCCAAUGUGAUCAGAUUUGUGUUUUAACAGAAUCACCCGGAAGCUUAUAUAACUAAGCAAUUGUGAACAUAUUUCCUUAUUCUUUUUUUAUGUAUAUAAGGAAUUUAUUUUGUAUAUGUGUGUAUUUCCUUAUAUAUACAUACGCAAAUUUCCUUAUAUACAUAUGCAAAUAUCAUAUAUAUUCCGUAUACAUAAUUUCCUUAUUCUUUCCUCCCACAUUGAAAAG